rnacentral:rRNA from 1 species
CUCCUAUCUACUAUCUAGCGAAACCACAGCCAAGGGAACGGGCUUGGGCCCAUCGGCGGGGAAAGAAGACCCUGUUGAGCUUGACUCUAGUCUGGCUUUGUGAGGAGACACGAGAGGUGUAGCAUAAGUGGGAGACUUGUCAACUUUGAAAUACCACUACUCCCGUCGUUUCCUCACUUACUCGGUGAGGCGAGGAGCGGCUGUCGUACUUUCGGGUGCGUCAGUUGAAUUUGUAGAGCCAAGUCCCUAGUCUCUUAGAGAGCGGGUGCCUUGUGGAGGGCAUGUGUGGAUGGGCAACUGUUUGCAUGUGUUUGAAACUUGGUGCUGGGACGACUUGAUCCGAGGACACCGCCAGGCGGGGAGUUUGACUGGGGCGGUACAUCUGUCAAAUGAUAACGCAGGUGUCCUAAGGCCAGCUCAGUGAGGACAGAAACCUCACGUAGAGCAAAAGGGCAAAAGCUGGCUUGAUCCUGAUUUUCAGUACGAAUACGGACUGCGAAAGCACGGCCUAUCGAUCCUUUUGGCUUCAAGAGUUUUGAGCAAGAGGUGUCAGAAAAGUUACCACAGGGAUAAC